rnacentral:sRNA from 1 species
GUCAAUAACCCCCGCUAGAAGUCGGGGACUUGCGGGAAUAGUCUUGCAGGCUCCAAGUUGACCAGACUCAGCACUUGUAAGAGUGCUACAUUACCGUCGGCUGAUUUCUAUGAGGGUUGAAAUUACUGUUUAUUAGUGUGGUAAUUGUUAAUUUAAAUUUCUAAAGUUAAAUUUG